GUCUUUUAGCUUGAACAAACUUGGCCCAUCUUUUGGAAUAAUCUCAAUUAGAAUAGAAGCAAUGGAUGAAAUUACUUACCUGUUCUAGACGUUCCUAUUUAGAAAAUUUAAACUUACUUUCCUAUUUGAGUCGAGACCUGCUGCAUUUCUCUUUGAUGUUGAUUGGCAUCCUUGACACCAUAUUUGGGCUAUCCAAUAUCACAUCAACAGUAGUGCAGAGUCAGUGAUGAAUUUUGGUCGAACCCUCGUGUUCUGGAGUGUCUCUACAAGAAUUCGAUUCCUAAUGCUUCU
rnacentral:lncRNA from 1 species